AUGAACGCUAGCUACAGGCUUAACACAUGCAAGUCGAGGGGCAGCAUGGUCUUAGCUUGCUAAGACUGAUGGCGACCGGCGCACGGGUGAGUAACACGUAUCCAACCUGCCGUCUACUCUUGGACAGCCUUCUGAAAGGAAGAUUAAUACAAGAUGGCAUCAUGAGUCCGCAUGUUCACAUGAUUAAAGGUAUUCCGGUAGACGAUGGGGAUGCGUUCCAUUAGAUAGUAGGCGGGGUAACGGCCCACCUAGUCUUCGAUGGAUAGGGGUUCUGAGAGGAAGGUCCCCCACAUUGGAACUGAGACACGGUCCAAACUCCUACGGGAGGCAGCAGUGAGGAAUAUUGGUCAAUGGGCGAGAGCCUGAACCAGCCAAGUAGCGUGAAGGAUGACUGCCCUAUGGGUUGUAAACUUCUUUUAUAAAGGAAUAAAGUCGGGUAUGCAUACCCGUUUGCAUGUACUUUAUGAAUAAGGAUCGGCUAACUCCGUGCCAGCAGCCGCGGUAAUACGGAGGAUCCGAGCGUUAUCCGGAUUUAUUGGGUUUAAAGGGAGCGUAGAUGGAUGUUUAAGUCAGUUGUGAAAGUUUGCGGCUCAACCGUAAAAUUGCAGUUGAUACUGGAUAUCUUGAGUGCAGUUGAGGCAGGCGGAAUUCGUGGUGUAGCGGUGAAAUGCUUAGAUAUCACGAAGAACUCCGAUUGCGAAGGCAGCCUGCUAAGCUGCAACUGACAUUGAGGCUCGAAAGUGUGGGUAUCAAACAGGAUUAGAUACCCUGGUAGUCCACACGGUAAACGAUGAAUACUCGCUGUUUGCGAUAUACAGCAAGCGGCCAAGCGAAAGCGUUAAGUAUUCCACCUGGGGAGUACGCCGGCAACGGUGAAACUCAAAGGAAUUGACGGGGGCCCGCACAAGCGGAGGAACAUGUGGUUUAAUUCGAUGAUACGCGAGGAACCUUACCCGGGCUUAAAUUGCAGAUGAAUUACGGUGAAAGCCGUAAGCCGCAAGGCAUCUGUGAAGGUGCUGCAUGGUUGUCGUCAGCUCGUGCCGUGAGGUGUCGGCUUAAGUGCCAUAACGAGCGCAACCCUUGUUGUCAGUUACUAACAGGUUCCGCUGAGGACUCUGACAAGACUGCCAUCGUAAGAUGUGAGGAAGGUGGGGAUGACGUCAAAUCAGCACGGCCCUUACGUCCGGGGCUACACACGUGUUACAAUGGGGGGUACAGAGGGCCGCUACCACGCGAGUGGAUGCCAAUCCCCAAAACCUCUCUCAGUUCGGACUGGAGUCUGCAACCCGACUCCACGAAGCUGGAUUCGCUAGUAAUCGCGCAUCAGCCACGGCGCGGUGAAUACGUUCCCGGGCCUUGUACACACCGCCCGUCAAGCCAUGGGAGCCGGGGGUACCUGAAGUGCGUAACCGCGAGGAGCGCCCUAGGGUAAAACUGGUGACUGGGGCU
rnacentral:rRNA from 1 species